UACAGAGGGGUGCAAGCGUUUGUUUCGGGAAUUUACUGGGGCGUAAAGCGCACGUAGGCGGAUUUUGUAAGUCAGGGGUGAAAUCCCCGGGGCUCAACCUCGGAACUGCCUUUUGAUACUGCAAGUCUCGAGUCCGAUAGAGGUGAGUGGAAUUUUCCUAGUGUAGAGGUGAAAUUCGUAGAUAUUUAGGAAGAACACCAGUGGCGAAGGGCGGCUCACUGGGAUCGGUACUGACGCUGAGGGUGCGAAAGCGUGGGGAGCAAACAGGG
rnacentral:rRNA from 1 species